rnacentral:lncRNA from 1 species
AGCUCGAGCACGACUACGACACAUGGCAGACAUUGUUGUUGGAUUUUCUGGUUAGUUUUCCAUUCUUUAUCGAAUUACAAGUGUAUUGCAUCGGAAUUUCUGAUUGGAUUAAUCAGAUUUAACAAGCUUCAAGUUAAGACUUAAGAAAGUUAACUUUACUGCCUGUCUCCACGUAAUCGUUGCCGUAUCAUGAAAAUGCCUCGAUGUUGACAGGGUUUCUACUACAGCUACAUUGACGACGAGAAUGAGAUGAAAACAGGAAAUCUGAAAUGGUAAUAGUGUAUGUAGUUGUAAGAUAAAUCAAGUGGUUUAUCAUUUAGUUUAAAUUUUGUCCAGUGGUGUCCCAUUUUACUUACACAUUUUCAUUGUUUAUUUUACUUAAGUUCAACAUCAUUUUUAUAUGUUGAAUAUAAGUGACAUACUGAACCACUUUUUCAGAAUAUUUGAAGUGGUUUUAGCACACAAGAAAACUGAUAUCCAAAUUAAAACAAAAUUAUUUUUUUAAAAUAGUACCAAGCAAUAGUGUUUACUAACUAAUGGUUGGUACUGACUGCUGGAGUUAAAGUUAAUUGGCGACAUCUCCAAGGUUUCACGUUUCAUUCUUAAAUAGUAGUUGUUGCCUGAUUGGUAAGUUUAAAUUAAAUUAAUUACAAGGCAUGUCGAUACCGAAAAGAUCGCAACCUGGUCUCUGAUGGCGCGCCAGUACGUUCCCUACCACACGUUCCUUUAUUUGGUUACAUUUGGGAUUUUCACUAGCCCGGUCGAAUUUUAGCUGCAUAACGAUCAAGAAAGUCUAAAACCUAAAUCCCAAACAACUUAUCUUUUAUCCUGUCUCUUGGAUUGUGAUUUUUUUCUGCAUAAAAAGUCAACAUAAAAAAAACAGUCUACCGGAAUUUGAGCAUUAAUAAAGGUAAGAAGGUGUGCUGAAGUGUUUUGUUAAUCAUAGAGAUUCUUUAGAUUUGUCAGUCGAUCUCGGAUCUGGAACGGGUUUUUUUAAAUUAAAGAUUCUAACACAAUUUUAUUUUUUAAAAUUAGUCGUUAAGCCCAGCCGGUUAUAAUCCUGAACAGUGAACAUUUUAUAUUCACAUUUCACACUUCACAGUCGAAUUUGCCGCUUUGGCUUUUAGCAAUUGCAGGGAUGCCAGAUGCGGACUUUUAAAUUGCAAAACUGAAAAUAUUGGCAAUGUUGCGCCUUGCGCGUUACUUUCAAGAUGGCUGCUUCAGUCUUACGCCAGCCUGUUCGGGUACUGCUACGACCUACGAGACAUAAUUCAACUCAACUUUCUCAACUUAUUUUCCCUGGCAUUAUUCGCCAUAAAAAUGAUAACAACAUAGUCUGCAAUUUAUACUUGGCAUUUGGCAAUUUCAUCUUAUCAUGUGGCCUGAAACUGCUGUUUCCCAAAAUGUCGUCUCUAGCUGCACGUAUCGGCUGUACGCUUCAGAACAGUAAAUCAUGGUGAAGUUUGAGCUUCUUCAUUGCAGUCCAAAGUGCUCAUUGAUUUGUUGAAGCCAGCUGGCCAAAGGUGUUGCGCUUACAGUCUUGCUACCUGUACCAGUUGGAGCUUUCGUCACACACUGAAACACUUCCAAACAAUUUAAAUAGGAUUAACAGUCGCUUGAAGUCUGAGCCUCUUUGUUGCAGUCCAAUAUGUACAUGAAUUUUGUGCAGCCAGUUGGAGAAUGGUGUGGUGAGCCGUUGCAUGCAGACUGGUGCUGGUGUCGUUCGUUCAUUUAACUAUGGACCGUUCAGUCGUUCGUUUAUCGUUUCCAUGGUCAGUUUUAUGUUUGAGCUGUUUGUGACGUCGCUGUUUGGGGUACAGUGGUUUUGCAGUCAUUUUCUAGUUGAGAGAUGCGCUGAAAUGGAGCUUGUGCGGACUUGCAGUUGAACAUCAUACUUUAAUGUGUUAUUUGCCUAUGUCGGUGUCCAUGCAGUCUAUGUAGUGUUGAACUGCUGUGGCAAAAUAAUCGAUAUUGCCUGAUGGCUGUCGGGCUUAUUUUAUCGGCAGCAUUUUGUUGAUAUGUUGUCUCUUGCUACCUAUACGGCUGUACCGCCAUUGAGUUGAUUCGUUUGCCGCCGUUCCCUAGACUUUAAACACCGGAGGGUCAUAAGCUGGAAGCCUUCUAUGACACACUGCUCUCAUAAUAACUGCUCCUCGGCUCUCUUCGCUCUUUUUCCGGUUUCUCUUAACCAUGGCCGGGUAAUCUCCCUGGUCGAGUCAGUCGGGCAGUGUCUCCCCCUGCUUGACUGGCUGCUGUUUGUACUGGACGGUUUGUUUAAUAAAUAAAACAAGUAUAAAAAACCAUAUAAUGUUUUCAUUUUAUAAAUUGUUAUUAAUUAAUUAAAUAUAAAUAGGUAACAACUUGAUUAACAAGCAUAUUUAUGUAACGUUGUUUAUUAAACAGACCGUCCGAUACAAACUCUUAGUUAGUACUAUUGCUCAAAAACUGAUUCUCUUGAAUCAGCAGACUCGAGUGUUUAUAGCGCCGCCAAGAAGCUGUGUUGUGUGUGUUGAUCGUCUCCACCAUGCACGCGAUAAUCAAGACCAGCAACGUCUUGAUCAAGGAGAAGCAAAGAACGACGAUGUAACUACUAAAUAGCGGGGUGGGUACCGCUAAAUUCAUUCUUAGUUGAAUGUCGAAUCGCUAAUAGCAUUGUUGGUUAUGGUAGAACAGUUUUCCACACUGGUACGCUGUAUGACGUCGAGCAUUGCCAAAAUGGAAGUGAUCUUUGAAGAACUGAGCGUCUUCAAAGCCAGCAAUGUUUCUUUUUUAAAAUUACUGUGGUAAUAAUUCAAGAUGAUGAA